rnacentral:rRNA from 1 species
AACUAACGCUAGCGGCGUGCCUAACACAUGCAAGUCGGACGGUUCUUGCACCUUCAAGCUUGCUUGUUGGUUCAAGGAUAGUGGCGGACGGGUGAGUAACGCGUGAACACCUACCCAUUGGAGGGGUACAACCCGUCGAAAGGCGGGCUAAUACCGCGUAAGCCGUGAGGUGAAAGGCUGCUCUUUGGUGGCUGCCGAUGGAUGGGUUCGCGUCCUAUCAGCUGGUUGGUGGGGUAACGGCCUACCAAGGCUAAGACGGGUAGCCGGUCUGAGAGGAUGGCCGGCCACACUGGAACUGAGACACGGUCCAGACUCCUACGGGAGGCAGCAGUGGGGAAUCUUGGGCAAUGGGGGAGACCCUGACCCAGCGACGCCGCGUGAGGGAUGAAGGUUUUCGGAUCGUAAACCUCUGUUGUACGGGAAGAAGGAUGUGACGGUACCGUACGAGUAAGCCCCGGCAAACUACGUGCCAGCAGCCGCGGUAAACUCGUCUCA